GCCAAAACCAUCGGUAAAAACUUCUGACCCGUCCGUAUGAAUGACAUCCACAAGACGAGCAUCUGACACGUCCAAUUUUCUAGAACGAUCUCGCACGAGGAUUUACACCCAAUUUGAUAACAUCCAGUAAUAUCAAUGCCAAUUGACGACCAACUAGCUCAGUAUUUGCUACAGCCGCUUGGUACAGACGGCACACAAACGAUACGAUGUUAUUUUGUCAGAGGAUGCAAUUGAACUUUCGCGCGACCCAUUACGCCAGCAAAAAGACUUUCACUUGUAGCAGCAAUUUUCGCAACAAGUCAUUACACAUAUUAUGCAUAUGUAGUUGCAUAUAUUUACA